rnacentral:rRNA from 1 species
GACGAACGCUGGCGGCGUGCUUAACACAUGCAAGUCGAACGGAAAGGCCUCUUUCGGGGGGUACUCGAGUGGCGAACGGGUGAGUAACACGUGAGUAACCUGCCCUUGACUUUGGGAUAACUUCAGGAAACUGGGGCUAAUACCGGAUAGGAGCUCCUGCUGCAUGGUGGGGGUUGGAAAGUUUCGGCGGUUGGGGAUGGACUCGCGGCUUAUCAGCUUGUUGGUGGGGUAGUGGCUUACCAAGGCUUUGACGGGUAGCCGGCCUGAGGGGGUGACCGGCCACAUUGGGACUGAGAUACGGCCCAGACUCCUACGGGAGGCAGCAGUCGGGAAUAUUGCACAAUGGGUGGAAGCCUGAUGCAGCAACGCCGUGUGCGGGAUGACGGCCUUCGGGUUGUAAACCGCUUUCGCUCAUGACGAAGCUUUGUGUGACGGUAGUGGGUAAAGAAGCACCGGCUAACUACGUG